GACAAAAUCUCUUACUAUAAAUAUAUGAUCAAGACAGAAAGCAAGAGAGAAAGGAAGAGCGGUACUGCACGGGCUACAAUAGCUUUAAUAUCAGCCAUGGAUUAAAUCUAAUGCUCAGAAAAUUGACACGUCAUACCCACGCUGGCAAUCCGCUUGCUUCAAUUUCUCCCCUAUAUCUUCUCUUUUCACUUUAGCAGUUCAGCUUUCCCAAAUUUGAAUUUCAGGAAAAAAACUCUCUCUUCGGGCUUCAGCUCGUCCCACACCACCACCACCACCACCACCGGUGAUGCUUCCCGGUCUAGUCUUCUACUCUUUCAAGGGACGAAGCGGCCAAGUUUAAGCUACUUUUGCAAUUUGUUGAUGUGCAACCUUAUAACAUUGGUAGAAGGGAAUGGAGGUUGUUGAAUGCCAAAUGAUGAGAGUUACUUUCUGCGCUGCAUAGUUGUCCAAGGUUGUUGGUUUCCAAUGGCUGAUUUGUUCACUUGUCUAAGAUCAUUUGUGACCUUGAGAAGUAAAUGAUUAUACAUGUAAAUCUUUGAUUGUAAUAUUAUUCUAGAGAAAUCGUUGCUACCUUUGUCUCUAUUAACUAUUUGCCCCUAUAAAUAUUUGGUUUUGGCCAAGUGAUCCCUUAGUCACUGUUUUGUUAAGGGAUCUUGGUUUUCUUUAUACUUUUUGAAGAAGUAAUAAAAGUUGGCAGAUUUCUUUGUA